rnacentral:rRNA from 1 species
UAUGGCUCAGAUUGAACGCUGGCGGGAUGCUUUACACAUGCAAGUCGGACGGCAGCACGGGCUUCGGCCUGGUGGCGAGUGGCGAACGGGUGAGUAAUGUAUCGGAACGUGCCCAGUAGCGGGGGAUAACUACGCGAAAGCGUGGCUAAUACCGCAUACGCCCUACGGGGGAAAGCGGGGGACCUUCGGGCCUCGCACUAUUGGAGCGGCCGAUAUCGGAUUAGCUAGUUGGUGGGGUAACGGCCUACCAAGGCGACGAUCCGUAGCUGGUUUGAGAGGACGACCAGCCACACUGGGACUGAGACACGGCCCAGACUCCUACGGGAGGCAGCAGUGGGGAAUUUUGGACAAUGGGGGCAACCCUGAUCCAGCCAUCCCGCGUGUGCGAUGAAGGCCUUCGGGUUGUAAAGCACUUUUGGCAGGAAAGAAACGGCACGGGCUAAUAUCCUGUGCAACUGACGG